UACGGGGGGGGCAAGCGUUGUUCGGAAUUACUGGGCGUAAAGGGCUCGUAGGCGGCCAACUAAGUCGGAUGUGAAAUCCCCAGGCUCAACUUGGGAACUGCAUCCGAUACUGGAUGGCUUGAAUCCGGGAGAGGGAUGCAGAAUUCCAGGUGUAGCGGUGAAAUGCGUAGAUAUCUGGAGGAAUACCGGUGGCGAAGGCGGCAUCCUGGACCAGCACUGACACUGAGGCACGAAAGCGUGGGGAGCAAACAGG
rnacentral:rRNA from 1 species